rnacentral:rRNA from 1 species
AUCCUGGCUCAGGAUGAACGCUGGCGGCGUGCCUAACACAUGCAAGUCGAGCGAAGCGCAUAAGUUAGAAUCUUCGGAGGAAGACAUAUGUGACUGAGCGGCGGACGGGUGAGUAACGCGUGGGUAACCUGCCUUACACAGGGGGAUAACAGUUAGAAAUGACUGCUAAUACCGCAUAAGACCACAGUACUGCAUGGUGCAGUGGUAAAAACUGAGGUGGUGUAAGAUGGACCCGCGUCUGAUUAGGUAGUUGGUGGGGUAGCGGCCCACCAAGCCGACGAUCAGUAGCCGGCCUGAGAGGGUGGACGGCCACAUUGGGACUGAGACACGGCCCAGACUCCUACGGGAGGCAGCAGUGGGGAAUAUUGCACAAUGGGGGAAACCCUGAUGCAGCGACGCCGCGUGAGCGAUGAAGUAUUUCGGUAUGUAAAGCUCUAUCAGCAGGGAAGAAAAUGACGGUACCUGACUAAGAGGCCCCGGCUAACUACGUG